GUUAUAUGGUCAAGUGAAGAAGCGCAUACGGUGGAUGCCUUGGCAGUCAGAGGCGAUGAAAGACGUGGUAGCCUGCGAAAAGCUUUGGGGAGUCGGCAAACAGACUGUGAUCCAGAGAUCUCUGAAUGGGGGAACCCAGCCAGCAUAAGCUGGUUAUCUUGUACUGAAUACAUAGGUGCAAGAGGCGAACCAGGGGAACUGAAACAUCUAAGUACCCUGAGGAAAAGAAAUCAACCGAGAUUCCCUUAGUAGUGGCGAGCGAACGGGGACCAGCCCUUAAGUUGGUUUGAGAUUAGUGGAACGCUCUGGAAAGUGCGGCCAUAGUGGGUGAUAGCCCCGUACACGAAAAUCUCUUAUCAAUGAAAUCGAGUAGGACGGAGCACGAGAAACUUUGUCUGAAUAUGGGGGGACCAUCCUCCAAGGCUAAAUACUACUGACUGACCGAUAGUGAACUAGUACCGUGAGGGAAAGGCGAAAAGAACCCCGGAGAGGGGAGUGAAAUAGAUCCUGAAACCGUAUGCGUACAAGCAGUGGGAGCCUAUUUGUUAGGUGACUGCGUACCUUUUGUAUAAUGGGUCAGCGACUUAUAUUCAGUGGCGAGCUUAACCGAAUAGGGGAGGCGUAGCGAAAGCGAGUCUUAAUAGGGCGUUUAGUCGCUGGGUAUAGACCCGAAACCGGGCGAUCUAUCCAUGGGCAGGUUGAAGGUUAGGUAACACUGACUGGAGGACCGAACCGACUACCGUUGAAAAGUUAGCGGAUGACCUGUGGAUCGGAGUGAAAGGCUAAUCAAGCUCGGAGAUAGCUGGUUCUCCUCGAAAGCUAUUUAGGUAGCGCCUCAUGUAUCACUGUAGGGGGUAGAGCACUGUUUCGGCUAGGGGGUCAUCCCGACUUACCAAACCGAUGCAAACUCCGAAUACCUACAAGUGCCGAGCAUGGGAGACACACGGCGGGUGCUAACGUCCGUCGUGAAAAGGGAAACAACCCAGACCGUCAGCUAAGGUCCCAAAGUCAUGGUUAAGUGGGAAACGAUGUGGGAAGGCUUAGACAGCUAGGAGGUUGGCUU
rnacentral:rRNA from 1 species